rnacentral:rRNA from 1 species
UACCAGCUCUCCGAGUGGUAGGGAUGAUUAUUGGGCUUAAAGCGUCCGUAGCCGGCUUAGCAAGUCUCCUGUUAAAUUCAGCGACCUAAUCGUUGAGCCGCGGGAGAUACUACUAGGCUAGGAGGCGGGAGAGGUCAACGGUACUUCCGGGGUAGGGGUGAAAUCCUAUAAUCCCGGGAGGACCACCAGUGGCGAAGGCUGUUGACUAGAACGCGCUCGACGGUGAGGGACGAAAGCUGGGGGAGCGAACCGGAUUAGAUACCCGGGUAGUCCCAGCUGUAAACGAUGCGAGCUAGGUGUUGGGGUGGCUACGUGCCACUUCAGUGCCGCAGGGAAGCCAUUAAGCUCGCCGCCUGGAGAGUACGGCCGCAAGGCUGAAACUUAAAGGAAUUGGCGGGGGAGCACCACAAGGCGUGAAGCUUGCGGUUC